UACAGCCAUAUUACUUUGAAGCACUGAUUCUCAUAUGACCAAUGAAAUUAAGCAAUGUUGGGCCUAGUCAGUACUUAGAUGGGUGACCACUUGGGAACACCAGAUGCUGUAAG